UGGAGCUGAUUCGGUAGAAGAAG
rnacentral:piRNA from 1 species